CUCUGUCGUUAUGAUGUCACGAUAACUCCUGAAGUAGCCUCAAAGAAGGUAAAAAGGUAUAUAAUAUCUCAGCUUGUUAGUAUGUAUCGUGAGUCACACUUGGGCAACCGAAUGCCAGCUUAUGAUGGCAGGAAAAGCCUCUAUACAGCAGGGCCUUUGCCUUUUGAAUCUAAAGAAUUUGUUAUUAAGCUGGUUGAGGAGAAUAAUGGCGCGGGGUCUUCUGCUUCAACAACGAAGGAACGCCAAUUUAAAGUGGCAAUCAAAUUUGCAUCUAAGGUGGACAUUCAUCAUCUGCGACGAUUUUUAAGUUGUAGACAAAUGGAUGCUCCACAAGAAAUGAUGCAAGUUCUUAAUAUUGUUCUUAGGGCAUCAAUACCUGAAAAUUAUAGCUCUGUUGGGAGGACACUUUUCUCACCUAAUUUUGGGCCACGGGAUGGGCUUGGUGAUGGUAUAGAAUAUUGGAGAGGAUAUUAUCAAAGCCUUCGCCCAACCCAGAUGGGAUUGUCUUUUAAUAUAGAUGUGUCAGCCACAUCCUUCUUUGAGCCAAUUAUGGUGACUGAAUUUGUAGCCAAAUACUUUAGCUUAAAAGACAUGUCAAGGCCUCUAUCAGAACAAGAACAUAUUAAGAUAAAAGAGGGCUUAAAAGGAUUAAGAGUAGAGCUAAGUCACAGGGAGAAUGCUGAGUGUCAUAGGAUCACCAGUGUAUCCGAUCAGCCACUGAAUCAAAUAUUCUUCAAUCUCGAUGAUAACAAUACAAAUAUGUCCGUGGUUCAAUAUUUCCGUGAGAGAUACAAUAUUGAGCUCAGUUAUACAUCCUUGCCUGCACUUCAACUCCAAGCUAGGAGUGAUUCAAAUCCCAUUUACUUGCCAAUGGAGCUUUGUAGGAUUGUUGAAGGACA
rnacentral:misc_RNA from 1 species